AAACCUUGCUGUGGGCAACAUCUUAGCAAGUCCUUGUACCUCUCCCAUGCAGCAUACAUGCUAUCAUCAUCAAACUGCACAAAAGAAGAAAUGUCAUUAUGCAUCUU
rnacentral:snoRNA from 1 species